AAUGGGGGAAACCCUGACGGAGCGACGCCGCGUGGACGAUGAAGGCCGUAAGGUUGUAAAGUCCUUUUGCAGGAGAAGAAUAAGGGUGGGAGUGGAAAGCCCGUCUGAUGACGUUAUCCUGCGAAUAAGCCCCGGCCAAUUACGUGCCAGCAGCCGCGGUAAUACGUAUGGGGCGAGCGUUGUUCGGAGUUAUUGGGCGUAAAGGGCGUGUAGGCGGCCCGAGAAGUCUGGUGUGAAAUCGCAGGGCCUAACCCGGCGGGUGCGCUGGAAACUGUCGGGCUGGAGUCCCGGGGGGGAAGCUGGAAUUCCUGGUGUAGGAGUGAAAUCUGUAGAGAUCAGGAAGAACACCGGUGGCGAAGGCGAGCUUCUAUUCGAGGACUGACGCUGAGGCGCGAAAGCGUGGGGAGCAAA
rnacentral:rRNA from 1 species